UACAAGUACAAAGUAGGAAGAAUGAGGCUAAUUCACUGACUUGGGUGCUACAUAUGGUGUAGACAAAAUGACCCUUGAAAUUUCUUAACUCAUCAGGACCUGAGCACAGGACUCACCUAAACCCAGAAUAACAGACCAGUGGAGGAGGCAGCGCAGCCCUGGCUCCCUUGCAUCAGAGAGCUCCUCCACCAGCCACCCCUCCCACAGGGUGAGGAGUCAGUGAGGCCCAAGAUUUGGCCUCUCUGCCCGAGAAAGUGGAGGCCAAGAAAUCAUUCGAAUGGGGAAGAAGGGCAUUGGAAUAAAGUGAUUCUUUUUCCAUCUCCACCUCUUUUUAUUUAAGUAUGUUUGUUUACUGUUUUGCCCAACACAUUUGGUUCAGCCUGUGAAAGCGGUGUGCCUUCCCUCUCUGCGGCCCACGCGGGGCUCGCUCCUGGGGGUACCUGCUGGCGGGGCCCAUGCUUGGAUUUGCAUGCUGUGGUGGUCCUUUAAUCCUUUCCCUGGGUAACUCGACUCAGUUGGGCAAGCCCCUUCCAGACCACUUUCUGUGUGCUUUUCUAUACAUUGUAGAAAACAUUAUUUCUGUGCGUUUGCCUAAAAAAUGAUAUGACAUAGCCCUGGCCAGGUGUCCUUGUGGGGUGGAACAUCGUCUGUAUGCCAAAAAACCUUGUGCUGGGUUCGAUCCCCUGUCCGGGCACAUACCUCGGUUUCGGGUUCACUCCCUGGUAGAGGCGCAUGCAGGAGGCUACUGAUCAAUGUUUCUCUCUCUCUCAAAUCAAUAAACGUAUCCUCCUUAGGUGAGGAUUUUUAAAAACUCUA